UACGAAGGGGGCUAGCGUUGUUCGGAAUUACUGGGCGUAAAGCGCACGUAGGCGGGUUGUUAAGUCAGGGGUGAAAUCCUGGAGCUCAACUCCAGAACUGCCUUUGAUACUGGCAACCUAGAGACUGGAAGAGGUUAGUGGAAUUCCCAGUGUAGAGGUGAAAUUCGUAGAUAUUGGGAAGAACACCAGUGGCGGAGGCGGCUAACUGGUCCAGCACUGACGCUGAGGUGCGAAAGCGUGGGGAGCAAACAGG
rnacentral:rRNA from 1 species